AAAUAAGCAAAAGCAUAGAGAAAAAAAAAAGGCGUACUGUAAUGAAACAUAAAAAUUCUAAAAGAAACUCCAAUGUAAUAAAAUAAAAUCAAUUCAAUAAAUUUUAAUAGAUUUCCUUCUCAUCCAUUUCUUCCUCGUAACCCAAACACACCGUAUUACUAUGCCCUUCACUAUUGCUCAUCUCUGUUCACCUCUUAUUCAACUCUUGCAUAUACUUAAACUUAACACCUUCUCGCCCUGCUUCUCCUUCUCCUUCUACCUCUCCUGAAAAUUUUCAUUCCUCUCUGGUUGGUCCCCUCUGCUGGGUUUCUCUUUGCCGUUUACCCUAUUCCAGCUACAGGGAAGCUUUGCGCAAAGCGUUGGGAAGGUGAAUCUUCUCGGCAAACUCGUUUUUUCUUGGUGGAAGUACCACCCUGUCCUUCACUGCAUUACGUUAUUGUGGUCUCGUUCUGGAAAAGUAUAAAUAGAUAUAUAUGUGCGGGAAGGAGAGACGUGGGGAGGGAAAACAAGGUAAAAAAAAAAGAAAAAUAUAAUAAUAAUAAUUAAUAAUAAUAAAUAAAAUCUGUAAAUUUUUUUAUGAUAUUUUGUAACUAAUUGAAGGAAAAAAAGAGGAAUAGGAAUAGGAAUAAAGUGAACCUUCUAAAAAAUUCCUUUUUUACUAUCAUCAUCAUCAUCCUAUUUUGUCUUGCCUUGAAGAAAUGCCAUCAUGCUCUCGUACAGAUUAAUCAGAUGAAGCCCAACAUUAAGAUAUGAUAGAUAGUCAACUACCACACAUAGCGUCAUUAUGAGCAAGUUUCAAAGAAAUCGCCAACAUACAGAUCUACACAUACAAAAUAGCUUUUAGCACACCGAUUUGACGAGUUCCCCCGACUCGAUAGGUAAUGUAAGAAAGGGGACAUUCUUUUUAGUACCCAUCAAUUCAGUAGUCUUUGUUAACUUUUGGUUCUGGUGCAUAUUUUAUUUUAUUUUAUUUAAAAAAUUUAGAAUUUAUUUUUUAAAUGCAUCCCUUUUUUUUUUUUUUCUUGUAUUUUUUACAAAGCCUUUUUUCCAUAAAUCUUCCUAUAUUAUUUUGCCGCCGAUUUCGCCUCGUUCAACUCUGUCUUACAAAGUCUGUGAUUUCAUAGAUAAGAGAAAUCAUUGAUUUUUAAACGGAAUCACUUACGUAGAAAUGCGUUGAUCGACGAUGAGAAUUGGCAAUGUGCAAGUAACUUGACAUACAAAACGACGAAUGGAAUGGACGGAUGUGUCACAUUCAUAUGACCAAGAAUCAUGCAUAUGCAUUCUUUUUCUUUAUCAAAAAACCUUCGUAAGCAAGCUACAUUUCGACGUAAUCCUUGCCUUGCCUUACCUUGCCAAUGAAUUCACAUGCAGUUUGAUUUUGAUGUAGAAAUGCUUUCAUAAA